GCCCGAUGUGCAUGGCCACACCCGCUCCUGGCCAUCGUUCUAAUCGCGGCGGAACUACUCGCCACCGGCGGCAGGCCGGCAGCGGAGAAGAUCUUACCUUGCUGAUCUACGGCAUGCGCGUUGGCAUCGGUCCAGGCCAUUGAAGCGAGCUUGACAUCCAGACGAGAGCUAGCUCGUAGGUGGUUGAGGUCCUGAGGCCACGUCCGCCGCCCUCCGGGAUCGAGUCCUACGAAUCCCGGGGCUCGGCUGGAGGCGACCGAGGCGACGUCGGACGGCCGGCCAUCGCCUUUGCCAAGUUCUACUGCCAAGAUAUAGUUGGAUCCAAAGAGUCUGUUCCAUCAAGAAUUAGGUCCGUGAGGCUGGGAGAAGCUCUAUGAUCCAGAUUUUUAUGCCAAGUUGACAUGUAAUUGGAACGCCGCGGAGAGUGGUGAGAUGGUUGCGCUGCACUCCUAGGACGAAACAGGUACAUGCAUGACUGAUAUGGCCAAGUUGAAUGCAAAUAUGAGGCAACAGUGAACUUGAACCAUCAUUAAGUAAGCAUGUUCUAAUUUUUGGAAUAUAGAUUCAAAGUUGUUUGAAUUGCAAUGUGGCUCAUUGAUAUUCUGGCUUGUUUUUGACAUGAGUGGAUGUAUUUUGUUUUUUUAUAUGAA